UGGGGAAUAUUGCGCAAUGGGGGGAACCCUGACGCAGCCAUGCCGCGUGAAUGAAGAAGGCCUUCGGGUUGUAAAGUUCUUUCGGUAUUGAGGAAGGUUGAUGUGUUAAUAGCACAUCAAAUUGACGUUAAAUACAGAAGAAGCACCGGCUAACUCCGUGCCAGCAGCCGCGGUAAUACGGAGGGUGCGAGCGUUAAUCGGAAUAACUGGGCGUAAAGGGCACGCAGGCGGUUAUUUAAGUGAGGUGUGAAAGCCCCGGGCUUAACCUGGGAAUUGCAUUUCAGACUGGGUAACUAGAGUACUUUAGGGAGGGGUAGAAUUCCACGUGUAGCGGUGAAAUGCGUAGAGAUGUGGAGGAAUACCGAAGGCGAAGGCAGCCCCUUGGGAAUGUACUGACGCUCAUGUGCGAAAGCGUGGGGAGCAAACAGGAUUAGAUACCCUGGUAGUCCACGCUGUAAACGCUGUCGAUUUGGGGGUUGGGGUUUAACUCUGGCGCCCGUAGCUAACGUGAUAAAUCGACCGCCUGGGAGUACGGNCGCNAGGUUAA
rnacentral:rRNA from 1 species